rnacentral:rRNA from 1 species
UACGUAGGGUGCGAGCGUUGUCCGGAAUUAUUGGGCGUAAAGAGCUCGUAGGCGGCUUGUCGCGUCGGAUGUGAAAGCCCGGGGCUUAACCCCGGGUCGGCAUUCGAUACGGGCAGGCUAGAGUGUGGUAGGGGAGAUCGGAAUUCCUGGUGUAGCGGUGAAAUGCGCAGAUAUCAGGAGGAACACCGGUGGCGAAGGCGGAUCUCUGGGCCAUUACUGACGCUGAGGAGCGAAAGCGUGGGGAGCGAACAGG